rnacentral:rRNA from 1 species
CCUACGGGUGGCUGCAGUGAGGAAUAUUGGUCAAUGGGCGCGAGCCUGAACCAGCCAAGUAGCGUGAAGGAUGACUGCCCUACGGGUUGUAAACUUCUUUUAUAAAGGAAUAAAGUGAGGCACGUGUACCUUUUUGUAUGUACUUUAUGAAUAAGGAUCGGCUAACUCCGUGCCAGCAGCCGCGGUAAUACGGAGGAUUCGAGCGUUAUCCGGAUUUAUUGGGUUUAAAGGGUGCGUAGGUGGGUUGUUAAGUCAGUUGUGAAAGUUUGAGGCUCAACCUGAAAAUUGCAAUUGAUACUGGCAGUCUUGAGUGUAGUUGAGGUAGGCGGAAUUCGUGGUGUAGCGGUGAAAUGCUUAGAUAUCACGCAGAACUCCGAUUGCGAAGGCAGCUUACUAAGCUGCCACUGACAUUGAUGCUCGAAAGUGUGGGUAUCAAACAGGAUUAGAUACCCGGGUAGUC